rnacentral:piRNA from 1 species
AGACAAGACCCAGAAGAGCUAAACUGACAC